rnacentral:rRNA from 1 species
UACGAAGGGGGCUAGCGUUGUUCGGAAUUACUGGGCGUAAAGCGCACGUAGGCGGAUUGUUAAGUGAGGGGUGAAAUCCCAGGGCUCAACCCUGGAACUGCCUUUCAUACUGGCAAUCUAGAGUCCGGAAGAGGUGAGUGGAAUUCCGAGUGUAGAGGUGAAAUUCGUAGAUAUUCGGAGGAACACCAGUGGCGAAGGCGGCUCACUGGUCCGGUACUGACGCUGAGGUGCGAAAGCGUGGGGAGCAAACAGG